GGCGGCGUGCCUAACACAUGCAAGUCGCACGAGAAAGGGACUUCGGUCCUGAGUACAGUGGCGCACGGGUGAGUAACACGUGAAUCAUCUACCUUCGAGUGGGGAAUAACUGAGAGAAAUCUUAGCUAAUACCGCAUAAUACCUACGGGUCAAAGCAGCAAUGCGCUUGAAGAGGAGUUCGCGGCAGAUUAGUUAGUUGGCGGGGUAAUGGCCCACCAAGACGAUGACCUGUAUCCGGCCUGAGAGGGCGCACGGACACACUGGAACUGAAACACGGUCCAGACUCCUACGGGAGGCAGCAGUGGGGAAUUUUGCGCAAUGGGGGAAACCCUGACGCAGCAACGCCGCGUGGAGGGUGAAAUCCCUUGGGAUGUAAACUCCUUUCGAUCGGGAAGAUAAUGACGGUACCGAGAGAAGAAGCCCCGGCUAACUUCGUGCCAGCAGCCGCGGUAAUACGAGGGGGGCAAGCGUUGUUCGGAAUUAUUGGGCGUAAAGGGUGCGUAGGCGGUUUGAUAAGUU
rnacentral:rRNA from 1 species